rnacentral:rRNA from 2 species
GCGNCGUGCCUAAUACAUGCAAGUCGAGCGAACAGAUAAGGAGCUUGCUCCUUUGACGUUAGCGGCGGNCGGGUGAGUAACACGUGGGUAACCUACCUAUAAGACUGGAAUAACUCCGGGAAACCGGGGCUAAUGCCGGAUAACAUUUAGAACCGCAUGGUUCUAAANAGAAAGAUGGUUUUGCUAUCACUUAUAGAUUGACCCGCGCCGUAUUAGCUAGUUGGUAAGGUAACGGCUUACCAAGGCAACGAUACGUAGCCGACCUGAGAGGGUGAUCGGCCACACUGGAACUGAGACACGGUCCAGACUCCUACGGGAGGCAGCAGUAGGGAAUCUUCCGCAAUGGGCGAAAGCCUGACGGAGCAACGCCGCGUGAGUGAUGAAGGUCUUCGGAUCGUAAAACUCUGUUAUUAGGGAAGAACAAAUGUGUAAGUAACUGUGCACG